rnacentral:rRNA from 1 species
AACGAACGCUGGCGACAGGCUUAACACAUGCAAGUCGAACGCUCGUAGCAAUACGGGAGUGGCGGACGGGUGAGUAACGCGUGGGAACGUGCCCUGAGGUACGGAAUAACUGAGGGAAACUUCAGCUAAUACCGUAUGAGCCCCGAGAGGGGGAAAGAUUUAUCGCCUUGGGAGCGGCCCGCGUCGGAUUAGCUAGUUGGUGGGGUAGCGGCCUACCAAGGCUUCGAUCCGUAGCUGGUCUGAGAGGACGAUCAGCCACACUGGGACUGAGACACGGCCCAGACUCCUACGGGAGGCAGCAGUGGGGAAUCUUGCGCAAUGGGGGCAACCCUGACGCAGCCAUGCCGCGUGAACGAUGAAGGCCUUAGGGUGUAAAGUUCUUUUACCCGUGACGAUGAUGACGGUAACGGGGAAUAAGCUCCGGCUAACUUCGUGCCAGCAGCCGCGGUAAU